GCAAGUCUGGUGCCAGCAGCCGCGGUAAUUCCAGCUCCAAUAGCGUAUAUUAAAGUUGUUGCAGUUAAAAAGCUCGUAGUUGAACCUUGGGCCUGGCUGACCGGUCCGCCUCACCGCGUGCACUGGUGCGGCCGGGCCUUUCCUUCUGGGGAGCCGCAUGCCCUUCACUGGGUGUGUCGGGGAACCAGGACUUUUACUUUGAAAAAAUUAGAGUGUUCAAAGCAGGCCUAUGCUCGAAUACAUUAGCAUGGAAUAAUAGAAUAGGACGUGUGGUUCUAUUUUGUUGGUUUCUAGGACCGCCGUAAUGAUUAAUAGGGAUAGUCGGGGGCAUCAGUAUUCAAUUGUCAGAGGUGAAAUUCUUGGAUUUAUUGAAGACUAACUACUGCGAAAGCAUUUGCCAAGGAUGUUUUCAUUAAUCAGUGAACGAAAGUUAGGGGAUCGAAGACGAUCAGAUACCGUCGUAGUCUUAACCAUAAACUAUGCCGACUAGGGAUCGGGCGAUGUUAUCUUUUUGACUCGCUCGGCACCUCACGAGAAAUCAAAGUUUUUGGGUUCUGGGGGGAGUAUGGUCGCAAGGCUGAAACUUAAAGGAAUUGACGGAAG
rnacentral:rRNA from 1 species